UUAGAGUUUGAUCCUGGCUCAGGACGAACGCUGGCGGCAUGCCUAAUACAUGCAAGUCGAACGCUGAAGCACUCUGCUUGCAGAGUGCGGAUGAGUGGCGAACGGGUGAGUAACACGUGGGAAAUCUGCCUAGGAGUGGGGGAUAACAUUCGGAAACGGAUGCUAAUACCGCAUAUCUUUUUGAACCGCAUGGUUCUUAAACGAAAGACGGCUUCGGCUGUCGCUCUUAGAUGAUCCCGCGGCGUAUUAGUUAGUUGGUGGGGUAAAGGCCUACCAAGACCAUGAUACGUAGCCGACCUGAGAGGGUGAUCGGCCACACUGGGACUGAGACACGGCCCACACUCCUACGGGAGGCAGCAGUAGGGAAUCUUCCACAAUGGGUGAAAACCUGAUGGAGCAAUGCCGCGUGAAUGAAGAAGGUCUUCGGAUCGUAAAGUUCUGUUAUUAGAGAAGAACAAGUCAAGGAGUAACUGUCUUGACUUUGACGGUACCUAACCAGAAAGUCACGGCUAACUACGUGCCAGCAGCCGCGGUAAUACGUAGGUGACAAGCGUUGUCCGGAAUUAUUGGGCGUAAAGGGAGCGCAGGCGGUUGGAAUAGUCUGAUGUGAAAGCCCACGGCUUAACCGUGGAAGGUCAUUGGAAACUGUCCAACUUGAAUUCAGAAGAGGUAAGUGGAAUUCCCAGUGUAGCGGUGAAAUGCGUAUAUUUUUGGAGGAACACCAGUGGCGGAGGCCAACUUACUGGUCUGUAUUUGACGCUGAAGCUCGAAAGCGGGGGUAAACAAAACAGGAUUAAAUACCCGGUAACUCCCCGCCCAAAA
rnacentral:rRNA from 1 species